UACGAAGGGUGCAAACGUUGCUCGGAAUUAUUGGGCGUAAAGCGCACGUAGGCGGCAUUGCAAGUCGGAUGUGAAAUCCCUCGGCUUAACCAAGGAAGUGCAUCCGAAACUGCAGUGCUUGAGUACUUAAGAGGAUCGCGGAAUUCCCGGUGUAGAGGUGAAAUUCGUAGAUAUCGGGAGGAACACCAGUGGCGAAGGCGGCGAUCUGGGAAGAUACUGACGCUGAGGUGCGAAAGCGUGGGGAGCAAACCGG
rnacentral:rRNA from 1 species